rnacentral:lncRNA from 1 species
CGUCGCGCAUCCCCAUGAGUCUAUGCAUAGAUUUUACAUUCAUACAUCAUUCAAAACACUCACUGGGGGCUAUCCAUACCCGGGAAUUUAUACGUGCCCGGUCACCCUUACGACGUAGGGUCAACAGAGUAUCGAGAUCCAACCUAGAACACGUGGUGGCAACCACUGUUCUUUACCCAGGGAACUCGUAUCUCAGAUAAACGUGCGGAAGCCACAUAUGUUUAUUCAUAAUCUUUCAUCCAUCAUCAUUUCCACAUUUCAUUAACAAUUCAUAUCAAACCAAUCAUUAUUCAAGCCAUAAGUCACUUUUUAUUUCUCAAGUCUCUUCAAUCUCAUAACUUUCCUCAAAAUCAAUUCCUUUUCAAAUCUUCGUCGUUUAAUAUAACAUUUUACAAAACUUCCAAGAGACUUUCAAUCAUCACCUUAAAAUGGAACUUUCUUUGAGAAGACACAAGACUUUAGGGAAGAAUAACCUGCGUCACUUCUCAAAAUCUUUAGAAAUCCUCGGAAUCAUAAUUACUCAAAUUGAAAUCAUUUGAAAUGGAGACUUAAAAACCAAAACCAAGGCAUGUAGGCCAAAAGUUUUGAGCCACUUUCAAAACCAACUUAUUUAUGCUUCAAAGCCAAUUUCAUUUCGUUUGUAAAUCGGAAACCUUUUCAAAGCUUGGAGUUGUUUAGUCUUGUUAAGUCAAAAUUUAAAGAAUACUUCAAAAGCAAAACGAAUCUAAUUAAUCAAAGUUCAACUACUUUUAAAAUCCACUAAAACUCUUUCAAAAGUACUUCUUUAAUCAAACUUCAAAACAUAGGCCCCUUCAUAUUUAAAUCAAUCGGGAAACAUAAAUUUUUAUUAAACAGCUCAAACUCGAAACACCAAUUUCUUAAUAAAUUAAGAACCAAUUCGUAGAACCUCUCAAAUCCUAAUCCUUUUCUAAAUCACAUUUUAAAACAGAAUCUAAAUUUUUUUUAUGAAAAUUCGGCAGCAUCUCCCCUAAAACUUGGACUUUGCCACCCUUUUCGGAUCCCAUCCAAACAUUUCUCAAACCUUUUCCUCAACCAUUUCCAAAUCUCAUUCAUUUUCCAAAAUUCAACCAGUUCCAAUAUCAAAUUGUUUUCAACGCGAAUCAGUGCCAAUAAUAAAUCUCUUUUAAAAUCAAACCAGCUCAAAUACUAAAUUAUUUAUAAAAUCAGACUAACUCAAAAUUAAACCAUUUCCAAAAUUAAUUCAGUUUCAUAUUUCAAAUCAUUUCCAAGCCGAUUCGUUUACAUUAUCAAAAACAGCUUCAAAACCAAGAAAGCCAUUUUUCAUAAUAAUCAAUUGAAUAACCUUUCAAACUAAUUUCUUUUCAGCAAUCACAAACUACUCAAGCAAUCAAGCAAUCAGUCAUUCAGUCCCGCAAACAACCAUAUUUAUAAGACAAUCAUAAUCACAGACAUAUGUUUCUCACUUUAAUAUCUAUUUAUAACAACUCUGUAAUGUAAAAUAGAUUUUAAGAAAAACCCCUACCUCGAUAAGCAAAAUCAUAACCCAAACGUGUCAACUAAACUCUUUUCGCUCAGCCUGAAUUCAACCGCAACCGAAACCUCAGCUCCGCUUGUUUUCUCAAUAGCAGAACAGCCUCAAUCGCGACAUGCAACACUAGAUUUCUAAUCCUUAAAAAUAUCAAUGUUGCAAAUACUUUAAUACAUGUAACGAAACACUAAUGCGGGGUCUCCGAAACAGAAAUACUUACUGCAAUACGAAGACGAAAUAGCGGCGGUCUCUGAACUGGUUUGGCGGCCUCGGCAUCCACCUCACGUGGCAGCGGCGACCGGUUUGCGGCGGCAGCAACUGAAACCAACAAGCAGUGCUUGUAACGUUUUCAAAACUUGAAAGAAAUGAAAUCCAAUACUCAAACCCUUACCAACGGUGGUCGUAGGUAACGGAGGUGGCGUUUCUCGGCGGCGAAGGCUCGGCCACCCAUCACCAGCGGCGGCAACGGAGGCUACGACGGCGGCUGGACAGAUCGGCAGUGAGGAGAACCAGCUCAGUCUUGGAUCUCUCUCUCUCCUCCACGCGCGGCUCUCCUUGCAUCGGCUCCCUUUCCCAGUGACGACGGCGGAUCUGGCGACGGUUUGGGACAGAGACAACGACGGCGGCUGGUUGAGCUAUACGGACCGGUGACGACGGGUCAGCCACACGUCUCCUCUCCCCGCAACUGAGCUCCUUGGCGCGUGUUCUUCCUCUCUCUUCCCUCUGUUCUUCGCACUUUCUCCCUCCUCUGUGCAGCACGGCGGCGCGACGGUGACUGGUCGCGGUGGCAAGGUGGCGUUCUGAGUAGCGCGGCGGUGGUGCAACGGCUCCUCCAUCUUACCUGGCGCUCUCCCUCUCACGGAUCCCCCCUCCUCUCUUCCCCUUUCUUUCUUCUUUUCUUUCUUUCUUAGCUGCUUCUAGGUUAGGUUCAAUUUGUGUGUGUUGAGUGUGUGUGACCGAGGGUGAAGGGAUUGGGUGAGAGAGAUGAGUGUAGUGUUAGGGUUUGGGGGUAGUUUAGGUAUUUUCAUUAAAAAUAGGGUUAUUAGUGUAAUUUCAUAAAAUAAUUAGGAAGAUAAAAUAAUAAUUAAAAAAAACCAAAUUAAGUAUAAAAUUUCUAUCUUUGACAUUCCUUCUAAUUACAAGCUGUAAAUUAUUUUCCAUUCGAAUACUAAUUUAAUAAGAAUUAGAGAUAAGUAAAUUAAUUCUCCUUUAUUUAUAAAAUAAGGUCAAAAAUUUAAAUAUUAAAAUUAAGGUAUAUAAAAUAUUCACUAUUUUUUUUCAAUUAUAAGAACUCUAUAUAAUAAAUAAAAAUUUACUCAACCUAUAUAUAAAAAUCUCUAAAAAUAUAAUCUUAAAAUAAAUACAAUAGCUCAUAAAUAAUUUAUUAAUAACUUUUUAAAAUCCGGGGUCUUACAUUCUACCCCACUUAUAAAAAAUUUUCGUCCUCGAAAAUUAACUUAAUUCAUAAAAUACUAAAAUAGUUUUGAAUACUUUACUUUCGUAUACUUUAGAAAACAAAGGUCUUGGCAUAUAUAUGUAUAUAAUUUUCCAAAUACCGAAAAUUUCGUAAAAAUUUAGGUGUAAGGAAAAAGUGUGGUCUAAAGCAAAAGUUACAGGAUGGUUCAAAACAAGGAUGUCACAUAAGGCUACUAUUUUACCAAAACUUGAAGUAUAAGAGGGUGCAAGUAUUCUAGUUAGGUGUUUGCAAAAACAAAAGGGGUAACUAGGUGGCAAAAAUUUGAAAACAGGUUGACGUGAACAAACAGGAUAAUGUCUGCGCAUAGAUUUCGUACCAACUUCAAAAUUUCAACUUCCCAAUUCCAUCAGUCACUUCACAACCCCUUAACCGCCACAAGCAUAAUCAUCCGCAAAUUUUUACGAGGAACAAAACUAUCACACUCCUCAUAACAUUGCAUAUUUACCGCUUUCCCUUUUCACGUUUACGAACUGCAUUCUAAAGAGACUAACGCUUCGCUUAUUACACCUAAAGGUCAUACGUGACUCUAAAGCUAUCUCCGAGUUUAUUUGAAGGAUAUAACACCUUGGAAAAGGACAAGCGACAAGGACAAAAUUUGUAAGAGCUUGAAAGAAUUGUUGAGAUUACAAAUAAGCAGGUAUGCACAAGGAAUGAAGAGUGCCAGAAAGAAGAUUAGUUCGGCAAUCUCAAGAAUGACUCUCGAAUCAUUGAAAUCUGAUAGGAAUAAUAAAAAGAAAAGUAGUGCUAUAGUUUGAAAUAAAAUCAAGUCGAGUCUCAGAAUAUGAGGUUUAUAGAAGAAGAGUGUUUAAAACCAAAGAUAAAGCUUAUAGAACUCAAGAGUAUGGUUUAAAAAAAUACUUUCGAAUACAUUUUUCGUAAAGAAUGGAAAACUUAAGAGAAAAUCAUUUUAUGUUUUGAAAAAGAAGAUGGGUAACAAACAUUCUUCAAAAGAUUAAUAAAAGCGUAAAUGUGGCAUUAUCUCAAUAUAAAUUCAAGUGGAAAUAGAUUACACAAACUUUGUAAAUGGAAAGAUUAAUUUGGCUAAGAGCAACAUUGUAUUUUCUCUUCUUUUUCAAGCAUAUAUGAAAACUACAAUCUUGUUGGAAGGAAACCUGAGAUAGAGUUUUACUCAUAAAAGAAAAGAAGAUACAUUACAAUCAAACAGGUUUAAAUCACAUACAGAAAUUUUCAAAGUAUAAGGUAAAGGAGUGUAGGCUGAAUUGAAAGAGAUUUUACUAAAACUUCAAUAAUAUACUUGAAAUCACAGCUUUAUAAGGAUGUUCAAUAAUAUUAAGAUGCGCUAAAAAGAAAACCAACUCAUUUCAAGAAAGGAACUCAGCAACUUAAAAGGUUGAUUCAAAACUUAAAUUAAUUUUUUUUUCAAAAGAAUUCAAAACUUCUUCAAAAAUGGUUGAAAACAAAAUUUUGAAAGUAUACUUGGAAUAAGCACCUCGCAAAAAUCAUUUAAGAAGAUUACGAUGCGCUUAAAAGGUAAUCAACCCAUGGAAGAAAGGAUCUUUAAAUCAAGGAAAUUCAAACAAAAUCUCACUAGGCUUGGAAUAUCAAACAAGUUUUCAAUUGAUCCAAAGGAAUACAAAAUGCACAAGGAAAGACAAUUCAAUCAAUAGAAAAUUCUCAAGAAAAAAUCUUUGACUAAAGAAAGAUAAUUAAGAGGGUAAACGGUGCAUUAGAUAGAAACAAGGUCAAGCUGAGUUGGAUGAGUGUGAGAUUCAUAAAAGAAAGAAAAUUAAGACUAACGGUGACGUUCACAAAAGUAAGAGAGUAGUUAAAUACAGAGUCAAAUAUGACAUCCAUAGAAGUGAAAGGCUCAAAAAGGAAUUGGUCCGUUCUUGAAAGGGAAGAUAUGAACCCAACAUUUUCAAAAGAGCAAAGAAUGCUUAAUUAACGUGUUAUGCUCAACCAAAUUUGAAUUAAAAAUAGAUCAGGUGAAGUUUAUUAAACGAAAAUCAACUAGAAAGAGACAAAAAUCUUGCUUUGAAGAGUAUCUGAAUACAUAAUCAAGCAAAAAUAUUCAUAAAAAUUGUAAUAUAGUUGUUAAAAAAUCAAGUUGCAUACGUAUGUUUUAAAAUAAGUAUAUUUUUAUAAACUAGUAAAAGAACUGAUGAGUUAUUGGGGGUAAAUAGUUUUUUAAACAGCAUAAAAGAAAUUUUUUUAAAAGCUUUAUAUGGAGAAGAUCAUAUCAAAUCAAAAACAAUUUUAUAAAGGUUUCAAGAAUAGUCAAGUAAGAAAAAUUAAAUCACGCCUUUAAAAUAACAAAAACAAAAUUUGAAAUAUGAGCUUAAAGGAAUACACUGCAUCAAAAUAAGUUCAAAGUUGUACCAAAUAAUACAUGGAUCAAGAAAAGAGUUUAAACAAAGAGAGGCAAACACACCAAAAAUGUUAGGCAAACAUAUGCGGUUAGAAUCAAACGAGAGCGCAUGUGAAUAAGAGAACAGGAUUGGAAGAUAAUCUGAUCAGUUUCCAAGAAAAGAAUAGCAAACAAGAACCUUAGAGCAUACCAAGUAGGAGCAAGAUACAUGAUAUUCGCAGAAUUCAAAACACGGUUGAAUGUUCCUUAAAGAUUCAAGCAACAAUUAGGAACAUAGUCAAGCAAGGAUAUAUAUGAAUGACAAGACAUGGUAGAAAAAUAUUCAAAACACAUUCUAAGAAGAAAUCAAGAACUAGAGAUUCCAAUACAAAUAAUAAAGAAAAGAUAGCAUCAAGCACAAAUAAAGAUUACACGUCGAAACGGAACUAAGCUCUAGAACUAAGUUUCUAACGUUCCCAAAACCCGCGACUCGCGUUAUCUAUGACUCGCAUAUCGUCUAUGAUAACCCAUUAGUGCUUACAUAUACAUAAUUAACUAAUGUUAAGCUAGCCAAACUUAAUACCAGAAAUUAUGCAAUGCAAGACUAAUAGCAUUAAUCAAUAGACCGUUAUGUGCAUAAAGCUAUAAUUCUCGUUAUCCAACAAGACCUACUACAUAACAGACUCUCAGAGUAUGCAACUGAAGCAUAGUCGGUCCAUUCCUCAGGCUCUAUAGGAAGAACCACUCUGAUACCUUAAUGUAACUCACUACCAGAAAGUCAAGCUUCCGGCUGCACCACUCUGAUUGCAAGAAGUAUUACAACUACUUUAUAUACUUAAUAUUAAAAUAGGAGCCUGUGACUCAACACUGUAUCGCUGAUUUCUUUGAAAACCGGAAAUAAAAAUUUUAUAAAAAAAAAACAAACACAGAUUCAAAUACAAGACUUUUUACAUAAUAUCUUAUAAUAUAAUAUAUAUAAAACAUACAACUNUCAACAACAUAUAAACCAAACGCAGUAUAACUCCUCUUAAUGCUUCUUCUUCCGGUUCCUGAAAAGGUAAAGCUGUAGGGGAUGAGAACCUAACCACACGGUCUCACCACAGAGUUUCAAAGUUAUCAUAAGAAGAUAUUUAAUAAGAAAACUAUUUUCAAGCUCAGUGAUUAUCAUUGCCUUAUGAAUCUUUUAAAAACCAACAAGUAAACGUUCAAAACAUUUUCAAAGAAACAAUGUUUAAUCUUUCAGAAAUCCGAAACCUUUCCUUUCUUAAAAGAAAAUAUCAAUCAGAAACCAACCACGCAAUCAACAACACAAUCAUUAAUUCAGCACCAAAGUUCAUUCUCAAAUGUAGCACGUCAGGAUAAACACAGGCAAGACAGACAAGGAAAACACAAGUAGGUAGCAAUUACAGCAAAUAGUUCAAGUAGCAGUUAAGAACAGUUUAGCAAUUAGGCAAACCCAAACAAGUUCAAACCCAAACAAAGCAUACAAAUGCAUAUGAUGCAUGUCUGUCCUAUGGCUGAUGAGGCUCAUCUGUCGGUUAUCCAUCCAACCCGACAAGUCUGAAUUGUCUUUAGACUGUCCCCUGUAGCGCAUCCCCAUGAGUCUAUGCAUAGAUUUUACAUUCAUACAUCAUUCAAAACACUCACUGGGGGCUAUCCAUACCCGGGAAUUUAUACGUGCCCGGUCACCCUUACGACGUAGGGUCAACAGAGUAUCGAGAUUCAACCUGGAACACGUGGUGGCAACCCACGGUUCUUUACCCAGAGAACUCGUAUCUCAGAUAAACGUGCGGAAGCCACAUAUGUUUAUUCAUAAUCAUUCAUCCAUCAUCAUUUCCGCAUUUCAUN